rnacentral:rRNA from 1 species
GGGGUAGAGUAAUGCGUGACCAACCUGCCCCAUGCUCCAGAAUAGCUCUUGGAAACGGGUGGUAAUGCUGGAUGCUCCAACUUGACGCAUGUCUUGUUGGGAAAGUGUUUAGUGGCAUGGGAUGGGGUCGCGUCCUAUCAGCUUGUAGGCGGGGUAAUGGCCCACCUAGGCUUCGACGGGUAGCCGGCCUGAGAGGGCGGACGGCCACAUUGGGACUGAGAUACGGCCCAGACUCCUACGGGAGGCAGCAGUA